GAAGCGAGAGCGGUUUUUGUUCGCAUUUUUAAGGAUUUCUUCUCCUUCCCGCGGUCUUUCCUAUCUUUUUCUUUUUCUUUUUCUUUUUUUUCUU
rnacentral:ribozyme from 13 species